GAUGAAGAACGCAGCGAAAUGCGAUAAGUAAUGUGAAUUGCAGAAUUCAGUGAAUCAUCGAAUCUUUGAACGCACAUUGCGCCCAUCAGUAUUCUGUUGGGCAUGCCUGUCCGAGCGUCAUUUCAACCCUCAGGGCCCGUUCGCGGGAACUGGUGUUGGGGAUCGGCCUCCCCCCGGAGGCCGGCCCCGAAAUGCAGUGGCGGCUCUACCGCGAUCUCCUCUGUGUAGUAGCGAUACCUCGCAGCUGGAUAGUGGUGGUGCCACGCCGUAAAAUCCCAACUUUACCAAGGUUGACCUCGGAUCAGGUAGGGAUACCCGCUGAACUUAAGCAUAUCAAUAAGCGGAGGA
rnacentral:misc_RNA from 1 species